rnacentral:ncRNA from 1 species
GGAGGUAGGUCCUCCGCUAUCUGCUUGCAGGAGUGGGUAGCAAACCGGAGUAUAUUGCUUUGUUCAAGAGACAAGGUAGUGAGCGAUACUUUAAAAAGCGGU